GGUUGCGAUCAUACCAACACUAAUGCACCGGAUGCCAUCAGAACUCCGCAGCUAAGCGUGCUUGGGCGAGAGUAGUACUAGAACGGGUGGAAGUCCUUGUGUUGCAACCC
rnacentral:rRNA from 1 species